rnacentral:rRNA from 1 species
GAUGAACGCUAGCGGCAGGCUUAACACAUGCAAGUCGAGGGGUAUAGUUCUUCGGAAUUAGAGACCGGCGCACGGGUGCGUAACGCGUAUGCAAUCUACCUUUCACAGAGGGAUAGCCCAGAGAAAUUUGGAUUAAUACCUCAUAGUAUAGUACUUUGGCAUCAAGGAACUAUUAAAGUCACAACGGCAAAAGAUGAGCAUGNGUCCCAUUAGCUAGUUGGUAAGGUAACGGCUUACCAAGGCUACGAUGGGUAGGGGUCCUGAGAGGGAGAUCCCCCACACUGGUACUGAGACACGGACCAGACUCCUACGGGAGGCAGCAGUGGGGAAUAUUGGACAAUGGGCGAAAGCCUGAUCCAGCAAUGCCGCGUGAGUGAUGAAGGCUCGG